rnacentral:rRNA from 1 species
UACGUAGGGUGCAAGCGUUAAUCGGAAUUACUGGGCGUAAAGCGUGCGCAGGCGGUUAUGUAAGACAGGUGUGAAAUCCCAGGGCUUAACCUUGGAACUGCAUUUGUGACUGCAUAGCUAGAGUACGGUAGAGGGGGAUGGAAUUCCGCGUGUAGCAGUGAAAUGCGUAGAGAUGCGGAGGAACACCGAUGGCGAAGGCAGCCCCCUGGGCCAAUACUGACGCUCAGGCACGAAAGCGUGGGGAGCAAACAGG